GGCCUAACACAUGCAAGUCGAGGGGCAGCACAAGGAGCAAUCUGAGGUGGCGACCGGCGCACGGGUGAGUAACACGUAUGCAACCUGCCUGUAAGCGGGGAAUAACCCGUUGAAGACGGACUAAUACCGCAUAAUACUAAAUUACUGCAUGGUAAUUUAUUUAAACAUUUAUGGCUUACAGAUGGGCAUGCGCAUGAUUAGCUAGUUGGAGAGGUAACGGCUCCCCAAGGCAACGAUCAUUAGGGGUUCUGAGAGGAAGGUCCCCCACACUGGUACUGAGACACGGACCAGACUCCUACGGGAGGCAGCAGUGAGGAAUAUUGGUCAAUGGGCGGAAGCCUGAACCAAGCCAUGCCGCGUGCAGGAUGACGGCCCUACGGGUUGUAAACUGCUUUUCCCCGGGAAGAAUAAGCCCCUCGCGAGGGGUGAUGCCGGUACCGGGGGAAUAAGGAUCGGCUAACUCCGUGCCAGCCGCCGC
rnacentral:rRNA from 1 species